GAUGAACGCUGGCGGCGUGCCUAAUACAUGCAAGUCGAGCGAACAGACGAGGAGCUUGCUCCUCUGACGUUAGCGGCGGACGGGUGAGUAACACGUGGAUAACCUACCUAUAAGACUGGGAUAACUUCGGGAAACCGGAGCUAUUACCGGAUAAUAUAUUGAACCGCAUGGUUCAAUAGUGAAAGACGGUUUUGCUGUCACUUAUAGAUGGAUCCGCGCCGCAUUAGCUAGUUGGUAAGGUAACGGCUUACCAAGGCAACGAUGCGUAGCCGACCUGAGAGGGUGAUCGGCCACACUGGAACUGAGACACGGUCCAGACUCCUACGGGAGGCAGCAGUAGGGAAUCUUCCGCAAUGGGCGAAAGCUUGACGGAGCAACGCCGCGUGAGUGAUGAAGGUCUUCGGAUCGUAAAACUCUGUUAUUAGGGAAGAACAAAUGUGUAAGUAACUAUGCACGUCUUGACGGUACCUAAUCAGAAAGCCACGGCUAACUACGUG
rnacentral:rRNA from 1 species